GAUGAACGCUGGCGGCGUGCUUAACACAUGCAAGUCGAACGAAGCACUUUAUUUGAUUUCCUUCGGGACUGAUUAUUUUGUGACUGAGUGGCGGACGGGUGAGUAACGCGUGGGUAACCUGCCUUGUACAGGGGGAUAACAGUUGGAAACGGCUGCUAAUACCGCAUAAGCGCACAGCAUCGCAUGCUGCAGUGUGAAAAACUCCGGUGGUAUAAGAUGGACCCGCGUUGGAUUAGCUAGUUGGUGAGGUAACGGCCCACCAAGGCGACGAUCCAUAGCCGAGCUGGGAGGGUGACCGGUCACAUUGGGAAUGAGACACGGCCCACAAUCCUACGGGAGGCAGGAGUGGGGAAUAUUGCACAAUGGGCGAAAGCCUGAUGCAGCGACGCCGCGUGAGCGAGGAAGUAGUUCGGAAUGUAAAGCUCUAUCAGCAGGGAAGAUAAUGACGGUACCUGACGAAGAAGCACCGGCUAAAUACGUG
rnacentral:rRNA from 1 species